rnacentral:rRNA from 1 species
GGGAUUGCCUUAGUAACUGCGAGUGAAGCGGCAAAAGCUCAAAUUUGAAAUCGGCGUCCUUUGCGGGCAUCGAGUUGUAAUUUGGAGGGAUAACUUCGGUACAGACUACAUCGUAAGUUCCUUGGAACAGGACGUCAUAGAGGGUGAGAAUCCCGUGUCUUGGUGUUUGGCUGUGCCAUGUGAAGUGUCUCCGACGAGUCGAGUUGUUUGGGAAUGCAGCUCAAAAUGGGUGGUAAAUUUCAUCUAAAGCUAAAUAUUGGCGAGAGACCGAUAGCGCACAAGUAGAGUGAUCGAAAGAUGAAAAGCACUUUGAAAAGAGAGUUAAAAAGUACGUGAAAUUGUUGAAAGGGAAGCGCUUGCGACCAGACUCGAUCUUUGGUGAUCAGCCGGGCUUCGGUCCGGUGCCCUUACCAUUGAUUGGGCCAGCAUCGGUUCCGACGGCGGGAUAAAAGGAGGAGGAAUGUGGCUCCCUUC